GGUCCUAUGGGAAGAAGAUGUAGGAUUUGACCUGCCCAAUGAGAAAUUUGAAUGGCCGCGGUAUUUUGACCGUGCAAAGGUAGCAUAAUAAUUAGUCCUUUAAUUGAGGUCUGGGAUGAAUGGUUGGACGAGAAAUGGACUGUCUUUAUAUUAUUAAUCAGAAUUUUAUUUUUAAGUGAAAAAGCUUAAAUUAUCUUGGGGGACGAUAAGACCCUAUAGAUCUUUAUAUUUUGGGUUGCUGUGUAAUUAUAUAAAAGGAAUUGUAAGCAAUUAAGGGUAUUUUGUUGGGGUGAUGGGGAGAUAUAAGUAACUCUCUUAAUAGAAUAAUUUACAGGCUGGUAUUAUUUGAUGAUCCACUAGUUGUGAUAAUUGGAUUAAGUUACCUUAGGGAUAACAGCGUAAUUUUUCUUGAGAGCUCAUAUCGACAGGAAAGUUUGCGACCUCGAUGUUGGAUUAAGAAUUUCUUAGUGGUGGAGAAGCUAUUAAAAGAGGGUCUGUUCGACCUUUAAUUUCUUACA
rnacentral:rRNA from 1 species